rnacentral:rRNA from 1 species
GAUGAACGCUGGCGGCGUGCCUAAUACAUGCAAGUCGAGCGAACAGACGAGGAGCUUGCUCCUCUGACGUUAGCGGCGGACGGGUGAGUAACACGUGGAUAACCUACCUAUAAGACUGGGAUAACUUCGGGAAACCGGAGCUAAUACCGGAUAAUAUAUUGAACCGCAUGGUUCAAUAGUGAAAGACGGUUUUGCUGUCACUUAUAGAUGGAUCCGCGCCGCAUUAGCUAGUUGGUAAGGUAACGGCUUACCAAGGCAACGAUGCGUAGCCGACCUAAGAGCGUAACCGGCCACACGGGAACCGAGACACGGUCCAGACUCCUACGGGAGGCAGCAGUAGGGAACCUUCCGCAAUGGGCGAAAGCUUGACGGAGAAACGCCGCGUGAGUGAUGAAGGUCUUCGGAUCGUAAAACUUUGUUAUUAGGGAAGAACAAAUGUGUAAGUAACUAUGCACGUCUUGACGGUACCUAAUCAGAAAGCCACGGCUAACUACGUG